ensembl:lncRNA
CAGAAACUCUUUAAUGAAGGUAGGGGCUGCCUGCAAAGCCGUGUUAAGUGCACGGGAACGGACUCACACUGACUCACUUCCACAAUGGGUGCUGUUGGCUGUGAUUUCAGCUCCUCAGGCUGUGUGGUGGCGCAUUUGGAUGUGUGGUGACGGCAGGGACAGAUUACGCAUGAGUACCUUCAGAAGAAACGGGCACCUUUAACAAAGAACAAAUACGAGGAAGUGGUAGUGUCGCGUGACGGAAGGAACUGAUGAUUUGGUGGGUGAUGGGGUGCCCUGAAAGGACAGGAAGCCUGAGCCGGGUCUUGAUGUCGGGGUGGAGCUUCGGGGGCUCAUGGAGCGCUGCUGAACGCCUGGUUUACUAGUGUGAUUUUGAGAGCGAACAGGUUUUCUUCUGAGUUUCCUGCUCACGGUUCGGGUGAAAGCUGUCUUUGUCCUGCGGAGGUGGAAACAUGGACACUGCUCUGGCCAAGAACAGCUCCCCAGAAUUUUCCGCUGGCAACAGGUUUGCUCGGUCCAUCAGCCUAAGGAAAUGAUGAAAUCGACCAAUUACUAAUAGGAAAUAUGUCAGAAGCUUUAAAAUUUCAUGAGAAACAUCAUGUUAAUGGGAAAGGUUUAAAGAAAAAAAUUCCCAUUGCUCGGCGACAAGCCAAAAAUAAUAAAAAAGUGCCUUACAUGUUCUCUCUACAACCAAACUCCAUUACCUGUGGGUAGUAACCCUAGGGGCACCAAAAGAAAUGACAUCUGGCAGUGGAUGUUUUCCAUUUCCCAGAAUUUGGAAAGCAAAGAUAUAUACACCAUGCAUACCAUUGACCCAUUCUCGGGGUUUCAAUGGGCAACUGCUUUAAGUUCUGAAAGGCUGACUGUGCAAUUACACACUUACUGGAAAUAAUGGCAGGGUUGGGGAUUUAGCUCAGUGGUAGAGCGCUGGCCCUGGGUUCGGUCCCCAGCUCUGAAAAAAAGAAAAAAAAAAAAAGAAAUAAUGGCAAUUAUGGGUCAGCUGCACCAAUUAAAACUGAGAGUGCUCCCGCGUACGUAUCCGAUAAGAUGAAGCAGUUCUCUGCAACCGUAAGAUAUAGCACGAUACCACACAAUCCCACAGGACAAGCCGAAAGAGCCAAUCACACCUUAAAAGAGAUGCUGAGUAAACAAAAAGAGAGAAUGAAAACCGCCAGGGACAGACUAACACUCAACUUUCUUACUGUUGGCGAGAAAGGGAGCUACAGCCGCUGAGAGACACUGCGUUAUCAAAAAACUGAGCAACCGGUCCAACCAAUAUACUAUAAGGAUGUGUUGACAUUAGAAUGGAGACCUGCAAUGGUUUUUAAGAUGGGGACGUGGUUUAUGCUUAUGUAUGUACAGGGAAUGAAAAAAAAAUGUCAAUACCAAGAAAACUUACAAGGAUUAGAUCGGACCAACAAAACUUAUAAAAAUCAGAUCUGACCAGGGAAAACCUCUUAUCACCGGAGACAAGGAUGUCUCCACAAAGCAAACAGCCCAAAUAAUUCUCAGACUGUCUCAAUUACUGACUUCUUCAGAAAACGCAUGCAAAUCAACUUCAAAGGGCUGGGCCAGGUGAUCCGUCAUGAAGAGCCGGACAGACAGACAAUGCAGAGACUGAGUAAUAAAGGCUGCACUUAGCUUUUUUCGGACUAACCAUUUUCUGGAUAAUUUUGCUUGCUUUACGUGCUAUGAUUGCUGUCAUCUAGGGUUUUAGGUUGUUUUGCUUAAUUAUUGUUUAUUGAUAAAAAUGUAAGUUUUUGUUUAAUUAGUGUAUAUUAGAAUUAUUCUAUGUUGAUAUUAAUAGAAAUUUAAGUUAUUUUUCUUUAAUUAGUGUAUAUUGAUAGAAAUUUAAGGUUGUUUUACUAGACUAUUGUUUCACUAUAUUGUACAUAAGCCACUUAUUUAAAAUGUGAUGGUUCUUAUAAUUAUUUCUAGUGCGUAUAGACUGCUAAUGUUAGCGAAGCGGACAAUUCUUAGACAGAAAGGGGGAUAUGAAGUGGAAACUUAAGGAUUCUUUGGAAAGCCAGUUGGAUGACGUUUCACUGGGGCAAACUCACGAAGGAACGUUUCACUGACGCAGACGCAGGAGCUCGGAUGUUCUGCUAAAGCAGCACGGGGCAGGACGAGUGAGGAAGGAUUCUUUGCUAAGGACUCGCAUGUGUUGCUCCACCUUGCACUGUGUAGUUGAGCUGCAUUUGUCAGGACUCCAGAGAGAGAAAUGCAUCAGACAACGUCUGGUGGUGUGCUGCAGUUUCUUGCUGCUUCCGAAGACUGGGGUUCAUUGGAUGCACAUGCUGAGGCAAAACCCACGUUGAGAAAAGUCACAUGGAGGACACAUGAUGUUUGGAGGGUAUAAAUAGGACUUUGUGGAGUGACAGAAGCAGAACUUGGCUUGCUGUACAGCCAGUUGUGCCAUGCUUGUGGGUGUCUCAUCUUUGCUGAUCUUCACAUCCCUGAGAGAGGCACAGCCGAGAACUUCUCCUGGUGUUCUGUUGGUCUCUCCUGGAGCUGAGGCUGAGGCCUGGCUGUCUCUGCUAGGUCGUGUCACUGCUGCUGCUGACCUGACACUACAGAAAUGGAGCUGGUGUAUCUGUGAGGUGUUUGCGAGUGGAUCGAGCUGCCGCUGCCUGCUCACCUGUGAACUGAACUGCCAAUUUCCAGACAGCACAGACGGAAGUUGUUCCAAAGGACCUCUCUAAACAGGUCCAUUCCACCUCCCCCCAGCCCAGUAUUCUCUCUUUUUCAACUACCUCUGGUGGGUAGUGGGCUAAAGGGAGGUUAAAAUGUUUAAGAACCAUCAUAAAAAAAUAAGGUUUGAAAACAUUUAAAGUUACAAAGCAGUACCGGUCCAUGGCCUCUGCAUCAGUGUCUGACUCCAGGUCUGUUACGGAGUUUCUGCCCUGAUUUCCCUCAGCAAUGGAAUGUGGCCUGAGAAUUCUAAGCUGAAAUAAACUCUUUCCUCCCUAA